rnacentral:rRNA from 1 species
UGGGGAAUUUUGGACAAUGGGCGAAAGCCUGAUCCAGCAAUGCCGCGUGUGUGAAGAAGGCCUUCGGGUUGUAAAGCACUUUUGUCCGGAAAGAAAUCCUUGGCUCUAAUACAGUCGGGGGAUGACGGUACCGGAAGAAUAAGCACCGGCUAACUACGUGCCAGCAGCCGCGGUAAUACGUAGGGUGCAAGCGUUAAUCGGAAUUACUGGGCGUAAAGCGUGCGCAGGCGGUUUGCUAAGACCGAUGUGAAAUCCCCGGGCUCAACCUGGGAACUGCAUUGGUGACUGGCAGGCUAGAGUAUGGCAGAGGGGGGUAGAAUUCCACGUGUAGCAGUGAAAUGCGUAGAGAUGUGGAGGAAUACCGAUGGCGAAGGCAGCCCCCUGGGCCAAAUACUGACGCUCAUGCACGAAAGCGUGGGGAGCAAAACAGGAUUAGAUACCCUGGUAGUCCACGCCCUAAAACGAUGUCAACUAGUUGUUGGGGAUUCAUUUCCUUAGUAACGUAGCUAACGCGUGAAGUUGACCGCCUGGGGAGUACGGUCGCAAGAUUAAAAACUUAAAUGAAUUGACGGGGUCAUAGCUG